UACGGAGGGAGCUAGCGUUGUUCGGAAUUACUGGGCGUAAAGCGCACGUAGGCGGCUAUUCAAGUCGGGGGUGAAAGCCCGGGGCUCAACCCCGGAACUGCCCUCGAAACUAGAUAGCUAGAAUCUUGGAGAGGCGAGUGGAAUUCCGAGUGUAGAGGUGAAAUUCGUAGAUAUUCGGAAGAACACCAGUGGCGAAGGCGGCUCACUGGGCCGGUACUGACGCUGAGGUGCGAAAGCGUGGGGAGCAAACAGG
rnacentral:rRNA from 1 species